GGGUCCCACCUGACCCCAUGCCGAACUCAGAAGUGAAACGCCGUAGCGCCGAUGGUAGUGUGGGGUCUCCCCAUGCGAGAGUAGGGAACUGCCAGAC
rnacentral:rRNA from 1 species